rnacentral:rRNA from 1 species
GUCCACGCCGUAAACGUUGGGAACUAGGUGUGGGCCUCAUUCCACGAGGUCUGUGCCGCAGCUAACGCAUUAAGUUCCCCGCCUGGGGAGUACGGCCGCAAGGCUAAAACUCAAAGGAAUUGACGGGGGCCCGCACAAGCGGCGGAGCAUGUGGAUUAAUUCGAUGCAACGCGAAGAACCUUACCAAGGCUUGACAUAUACCGGAAACACCCAGAGAUGGGUGCCCCGCAAGGUCGGUAUACAGGUGGUGCAUGGUUGUCGU